UGGACCGACCUUCGGGAGCUGUACAGGUGCUGCAUGGCUGUCGUCAGCUCGUGUCGUGAGAUGUUCGGUUAAGUCCGCUAACGAGCGCAACCCUCGCUGUGUGUUACAAGUGUCACACGGAACUGCCGGUCAUAAACCGGAGGAAGGUGGGGAUGACGUCAAGUCAGCAUGGCCUUUAUAUCCUGGGCUACACACACGCUACAAUGGGAAGGGACAAUAGGUUGCGAAGCCGCGAGGCGGAGCCAAUCCAGCAAAACUUCCCUCAGUUCGGAUUGCAGGCUGCAACUCGCCUGCAUGAAGUUGGAGUUGCUAGUAAACGCAGGUCAGCCAUACUGCGUUGAAUACGUUCCCGGGGCUU
rnacentral:rRNA from 1 species